rnacentral:lncRNA from 1 species
AACAUGUUCCCUUGGAGGGCUCUGGAGAACACAUGUGCUGGGCAACAUGCUCUCACUCUGGACAACAGUCUACCCAAGGCAAUGCAAAAACACCUGCAUUUUCACAAGGCACCCUGAGAGCGCAUAGGGGGAGGAAGUGCUAGGAAGAGCCCAGAGGAGGAGGGCUGAGAAGAGUGUGAACCAGCAGCUCCCCACUGCAGCUCUACCUCUGGGUGACUGAUUGUGAGGGCCUGGUCAGCUGGAGAGAGGGUCUGGAGCCAAGGUUCAGAGCUCACUCCAGUGGGCUCCCAUCACAGGACCUGUGCAGUGCAGUCAGACAGCCUGGCUCAUUGGCGGUGAGAAAGGAUUGUCAACAACCUCUCAAUUCUCCAGGUUCCAGCAAGUUCCAGAAAGGAACCUGAAAAGUGAUCUUUUGUUGGUGCCUGCCCCGGGCAGGCCCGGCUGUGCUGCAGGCGGGGACUGAACCGCCACAAAUCUGACACUCAUUCCAAGGUCUGCGGUCAACGGAUUUCUAAGUGGCUGACAGUGCCCAUGCCUUCCCUCGGUGUGAUGACAAUCCACACUUUGUCUUGGGGCCCUGUUUGCUCCGUGUGUUGACAUGUUGUUCUGCUCCCCAGCAAGCUUGGCUUUCUUUCCCUCCCUUUCCUCUUCUCCAGGAAGGAAGUGUGCUCUUUACAGAGGCAUGGCCUGCCAAGGAGCAGCCCUGGCACCCAUGAGGGCAUCGAGGUGGAGCCCAGCAAGGGCUCCUGUCGGCUGCUCCCCUUCCCCACAUUGAGGCAGACACUCCCGUCCUGGGAGGGGCCGAGGCGAGGCAUGUGCUUGUGAGUGGUGGGGGCGCUCGCUCAUUUCCUGCUCUGGGUGGGUGGUGAGAAGUUGGCUUUGGUGGCCAGGAGCAGGCUGAGACUCCUGCUCUGUCGACACAGUGGGGAAUUACAGUUUGCUCUGCAACGUAAUAGGCACUGGACUGAACAAAGAGGUCUGGAGACGGCCCAAGGCAAGAUCUCCAAAGGAGACCAGGUAUAGGCAGGCCCACCGGAAGGAGAAACGGUAGGCACCAGAAAGGGAGGGCCAGGGGCCGGGCAGGGGACUCCCAGGUUGGCUUCUACACCACAUCCAAAGGUGUAUAUGGGGACGGAAGAAGACAGGCUGGAGAGAUCUGGGAAGCCUGUUCCUGGGCUGGGAUACAGUUCAGCAGAGGUUUCCCACAGGGAACAGCUGGGAGGCGUCUUCUCCCAAGCCAGGACCUCCCAUUGGGCUGCUAGGGAGUGGCUGGGACUAAGAGCACCACCUGGGUGAGCUAUCAGACACCACACAGCUGAGAAAGCAUUGCAAGGCCUAAAAAAAAAAAUAAUCUCAUGUUUGGUCAUAUGACCUUUCAGCGACCUCUGGGACUGAAGUGUCUCUCCUGCAGAUAGCUCUGGCUAAGAACUUAUGUCGGAAACUGACUCAGCUUUGGGCGGGGCUCUGCUCAGAAGACUGGCAACUCAGAGUCAACAGGCCAAGGGGGAAGCCUGCCACAGCCCCCAGCGAAGAGUGCCAGGGCUAGGAAGGGACACUGGCCUGUUCCGGGGUCUGGAGACCUCUCAUAAAGCUCUGGACUUGGCUUACACGAAGUAGGAUGGAUGAGGCCAUGCCUCUACUCUGGAAAGAUCUUGCCUUCGCAGC